rnacentral:misc_RNA from 1 species
GAGUUCGCGGGAGAGUAAGUUGUUGCCAGGGUUUUUUUUUUAUACUUUAAACAUUGAUUUUAUUUUUUAUGUUUUUAGAUGUUCAUGUUUUUGAAUGUUUUAUUCAAAUAAUAUAAAAAAUAAAAUAUAUAUUGACAUGGAUUAAACAAAGAUAUAUAUUAUUCUAUGUUGUAUAAACAAAUUGGCAAAAUAGAGAUGGAAGAUAAAAAUAUGGUCAAAGUAAUAAGAGUCUAUGGUGAAUGCC